GAUGAACGCUAGCGGCAGGCCUAAUACAUGCAAGUCGAACGGGAUCCAGAUCAAAGCUUGCUUUGGUCUGGUGAGAGUGGCGCACGGGUGCGUAACGCGUGAGCAACCUACCCUUGUCAGGGGGAUAGCCCGGCGAAAGUCGGAUUAAUACCGCAUGACAUCAUUGAGAGGCAUCUUUCGAUGAUCAAAGAUUUAUCGGACAAGGAUGGGCUCGCGUGACAUUAGCUAGUUGGUAAGGUAACGACUUACCAAGGCUGCGAUGUCUAGGGGCUCUGAGAGGAGAAUCCCCCACACUGGUACUGAGACACGGACCAGACUCCUACGGGAGGCAGCAGUAAGGAAUAUUGGUCAAUGGACGGAAGUCUGAACCAGCCAUGCCGCGUGCAGGAGGACGGCCCUAUGGGUUGUAAACUGCUUUUAUACGGGAACAAACGUCGGUACGUGUACCGGUCUGAGUGUACCGUAAGAAUAAGGAUCGGCUAACUCCGUG
rnacentral:rRNA from 1 species